GCUAGGUGUGGUGGCGCAUGCCUGUAAUCCCAGCUACUGGGGAGGCUGAGGCAGGAGAAUCACUUGAACCCAGGAGGCGGAGGUUGCAAUGAGCCAAGAUCAUGCCACUGCACUCCAGCCUGGGUGACAGAGUAAGACCCUGUCUCAA
ensembl:misc_RNA Metazoa_SRP Metazoan signal recognition particle RNA